GCUCUAUUUGAUUUUUAAUUAUAUGUUUUAAAAAAUAUAAAUUUACAUAAAGAACGCCUUUCUUGGCUAACAGUUCUGUUUGAUUUAAACAUAAUAAAAAAACAAUAAUAAAUCGGAUAAUAUUAGAUUAUAACUAACCCUAGGACAACUCUCCUCCUUAUUUCUUUACUCUUAACUUUUCAACAACCGUUCUUUCUCAUCCAUCUCAUAGAUUUCCUCUUUCUCUUUUCCUCAGAUCCGUUUCGAGUUCUUCCCUCAAUGAAUUUGAUUCUAAUUGAUCGGGUCGUUGAUAGAGAAAGAGAUGCUUGAUCUACCUUAGAGAAGCUUGACCAUGGCGAGCGAUGCGGACACUGAUGAUGAAACUCCUCUGUUGAUUUCGCCGCAAUUUCCCAUUGUUCCAAUGGACACGGUCGAUAAUUUUAAGUUGGUUCUUUACUCCUAUUGAACUAUCUCAAAGCCGUAUCAGUAGAUCGAAGUCAAUGAGAUCCAAUUUAAAGAGAAGAUCAAGUAUUGUCUUCAAAAAAAAAAAAAAAAAUCAAGUACUGUAUAUAUGAUUCGUUGUGGGACAGCAACAUACAACUUUGAAAGAAUAAGAGAUUCUUGUAGUUUUUUUUAUUUUUUAUCUUGUUAUUUAUUUUUCAUUUACAUUUAAGUUGUAUAAAAAAAUUAUUAAUUUAAUAGAAGUUUCUAUAACCUUUUGGAUUUCCACUA